rnacentral:rRNA from 1 species
GAUGAACGCUGGCGGCGUGCCUAAUACAUGCAAGUCGAGCGAACAGAUGAGGAGCUUGCUCCUCUGACGUUAGCGGCGGACGGGUGAGUAACACGUGGAUAACCUACCUAUAAGACUGGGAUAACUUCGGGAAACCGGAGCUAAUACCGGAUAAUAUAUUGAACCGCAUGGUUCAAUAGUGAAAGACGGUUUUGCUGUCACUUAUAGAUGGAUCCGCGCCGCAUUAGCUAGUUGGUAAGGUAACGGCUUACCAAGGCAACGAUGCGUAGCCGACCUGAGAGGGUGAUCGGCCACACUGGAACUGAGACACGGUCCAGACUCCUACGGGAGGCAGCAGUAGGGAAUCUGCCGCAAUGGGCGAAAGCAUGACGGAGCAACGCCGCGUGAGUGAUGAAGGUCUUCGGAUCGUAAAACUCUGUUAUUAGGGAAGAACAAAUGUGUAAGUAACUAUGCACGUCUUGACGGUACCUAAUCAGAAAGCCACGGCUAACUACGUG